rnacentral:rRNA from 1 species
UACGAAGGGUGCAAGCGUUACUCGGAAUUACUGGGCGUAAAGCGUGCGUAGGUGGUGAGUUAAGUCUGUCGUGAAAGCCCCGGGCUCAACCUGGGAAUGGCGAUGGAUACUGGCUCGCUAGAGUGCGGUAGAGGAGAGUGGAAUUCCCGGUGUAGCAGUGAAAUGCGUAGAUAUCUGGAGGAAUACCGGUGGCGAAGGCGGCAUCCUGGACCGACAUUGACGCUGAUGAGCGAAAGCUAGGGGAGCAAACGGG